rnacentral:ncRNA from 2 species
AAAAUUAAUAGAAAAGUAGUUCGUAUAACUUCAAUAAUAUGGUUUGAAGGUCUCUACCAGGAACCACAAAAUCCUGAUUACGAAGAAAAUUGGUUAUUCA